UAGAAUAUAGUACAAAGGGAGUACGUAAAAUUUUGGGUUUUGUAGUACAGGUUCAAGUCCUGUUUUCUAGG
rnacentral:tRNA from 1 species